AGAGUUUGAUCCUGGCUCAGAUUGAACGCUGGCGGCAUGCCUUACACAUGCAAGUCGAACGGCAGCAUGAUCUAGCUUGCUAGAUUGAUGGCGAGUGGCGAACGGGUGAGUAAUACAUCGGAACGUGCCCUGUAGUGGGGGAUAACUAGUCGAAAGAUUAGCUAAUACCGCAUACGACCUGAGGGUGAAAGUGGGGGACCGCAAGGCCUCAUGCUAUAGGAGCGGCCGAUGUCUGAUUAGCUAGUUGGUGAGGUAAAGGCUCACCAAGGCGACGAUCAGUAGCUGGUCUGAGAGGACGAUCAGCCACACUGGGACUGAGACACGGCCCAGACUCCUACGGGAGGCAGCAGUGGGGAAUUUUGGACAAUGGGCGAAAGCCUGAUCCAGCAAUGCCGCGUGUGUGAAGAAGGCCUUCGGGUUGUAAAGCACUUUUGUCCGGAAAGAAAUGGCUCUGGUUAAUACCUGGGGUCGAUGACGGUACCGGAAGAAUAAGGACCGGCUAACUACGUGCCAGCAGCCGCGGUAAUACGUAGGGUCCAAGCGUUAAUCGGAAUUACUGGGCGUAAGGCGUGCGCA
rnacentral:rRNA from 1 species